UUGAGAUGUAAAAUUUGAUUAUAAAUAAUUUACUUGAGUAUUACGAGUUGUGAAAUAUUGUUUUAUGCAGAAAUCUUAAAACUCAAAAGACUUGGCGGUAUUUUAGGUCCUUCUAGGGGAACCUGUCCUGUAAUCGAUAGUCCACGAUUUAUCUUUCCUUUCCUUGAAAAUAAUCAGCUUGUAUACCGUCGUCGUCAGAUUACCUUUAAGAGUCAAAUAAGUUAUCAGAAAGAAGGCUACUAUUUAGUGUUUAUCUUAGCUUUAAUAAGUUGGGGUAAGAUGUAAAAGUAAUUUUCUAGAUGUCAGAUCAAGGUGCAGCCAUGGGAAGGUAGAGAUGGGUUACAAUAAUUAUUUAUUAUUCACGGAUUUCUUAUUGAAAUUAUAAGAACUAAAGGCGGACUUAGAAGUAAUUAAUAAGAGAAAUAGAAAGUUUCGGUGAAAAUGGCACUAAGAUGUG
rnacentral:rRNA from 1 species